rnacentral:lncRNA from 10 species
GCUGGAUUCCAGGCCGAGUGCUGGCGAGGCGCGCAGUGAGUUCUCUGCUGUUUAAAAAGUAUCCCUGUGGUACCAUCUCCAGGGAGAGCAAGGUUGGAGCCUAAGGGGAAAGAUGGGACGCAGGACACCAGCUAAUCUUUUCCUCUGUACAAUUAAUGACAGCUUUGAAGAUACUGCUAUAAUUUGAAAAUUUGAAAUUAGUGUUUCAGCUGAACCAUCCGUUCAUCUUCAAGCCAUCAUGAGCUGUAAGAAGCAGAGGUCACGGAAGCACUCAGUCAAUGAAAAAUGUAAUAUGAAAAUCGAGCACUAUUUUUCUCCGGUAUGUCUGUAAAUUCUACUUAUGUAAUCUAGUCAUCCCUUGGUAUCCAUGUGAGAUUUGUUCCAGGACCUCUCUUGGAUACCAAAAUCCAUGAAUGCUCAAAUUCUUCACAUAACAUGGCAUAGUAUUGGCAUAUAAUGUAUCAUAUCCUCCUGUAUACUUUAAAUCAUCUCUGGAUUAUUUGUAUUACCUAAUACAAGGUAAAUGCUCUGUAAAAUGUUGAUAU